GCGAGAGAGUAAGACGGGUGUCGGGUCGCGAUUGUGGAUUGGAAUCCUGGAUUUUUGGCACCGAAAAUAGUCGUGCGCGCGCGCCGAGGCGGUCUUACAAGUCGCGCCAGCCAGUGCGAGUCGCUCCGCCGCGUGAACAACCCGUCCGUGAGGUCCGUAGGCGUUUUUUUUCGACAGACCAGUUCCCAAACAAGCCGCCAAGAUGGACGCGAUCAAGAAGAAGAUGCAAGCGAUGAAGCUGGAGAAGGACAACGCCAUGGACAAGGCGGACACCUGCGAGCAGGCCGCGCGCGACGCCAACCUGCGCGCAGACAAGGUGAACGAGGAAGUCCGCGAGCUGCAGAAGAAGCUGCAACAGGUCGAGGAGGACCUGAUCCGCAACAAGAACACCCUGGAACAGACCACCAAGGACCUGGAAGAGCGCGAGAAACAGUUGACGGCCACCGAGGCCGACGUGGCGUCGCUCAACAGGAAGGUGCAGCAGAUUGAGGAGGACCUGGAGAAGUCUGAGGAGAGGUCCGGGACCGCGCAGCAGAAGCUGCUGGAGGCCCAGCAGUCCGCUGAUGAGAACAACCGUAUGUGCAAAGUGAUGGAGAACCGCGCGCAGCAGGACGAGGAGCGCAUGGACCAGCUCACCAACCAGCUCAAGGAGGCCCGCCUCAUCGCCGAGGACGCUGACGGCAAGUCUGACGAGGUGUCCCGCAAGCUGGCCUUCGUUGAAGACGAGCUGGAGGUGGCCGAGGACCGCGUCAAGUCCGGAGACUCCAAGAUCGGAGAGCUCGAGGAGGAACUGAAAGUAGUAGGAAACUCGCUGAAAUCCCUGGAAGUGUCCGAGGAGAAGGCGAACCAGCGCGUGGAGGAGUUCAAGAAGCAGCUCAAGUCGCUCACCACCAAGCUGAAGGAGGCCGAGGCGCGCGCCGAGUUCGCCGAGAAGACUGUCAAGAAACUACAGAAGGAGGUCGACAGGCUCGAAGACGCAUUGUUCAACGAAAAGGAGAAAUACAAGGCGAUAUGCGAUGACCUCGACGGAACAUUCGCAGAGUUGACAGGAUACUAACCCACCCCCUCACCGCACCUAGCAUACGACGAUACCGUCCAUAUCACCAUCACCUUAAAGCCCAUUCUCGAAUGCAACUCCAACGGCCACAAACGACCUUCUCGACUCAAUCGUCUUUUCUCCAUUACAACUUUUUAUACCAUACAUCUCCCCAAAACGAUACAAACCGCUUAUACCUCUUAUCAUUAAGCCCUAUACAACUUACGUAUCGUCUAAGGAUCUUAUGUUACUAAAACCUUUUUAUACUUACCGACGUUACAGAAUUUGCUUCAAUACACAUCUUUACUUACGAUAUAUUGUAGAUAGUUUAUUUAUUUGUACAGUCAGCAGCUAAACCCCAUCACUCGAGAUGGGUGAACUAUGCGACGUUCUAUCUGAUUGCGUUGCUGACUGUACUCCCUAGUUAUAAGCCCUGCUUUAUGUAUGUUGUGAAUAACACGUCUUUCGCUUUGCUGCUACCGCCGCGGACCAAAGCUUCGAAGACGAGCUGGGCAUCAACAAGGACCGCUACAAGAGCUUGGCCGACGAGAUGGACUCCACCUUCGCCGAGCUGGCCGGCUACUAGACUCCUGCACUCCACACACACACACAUACACACACAGCAGCACACACACCUACACGCUGCAUCAACAACAUGUUACUAUACAAUACAAUUGUACACGUGAUGUAAUACUAUUUAUUUAUUAAUUUAUGUAAAUUUAUUUACGAUUUUCAGUAAUAAAACUUAAUUUAUAACAUCCUUUGUUCGUUCAUUGUUUGGUUG